GGCUUCGUGAUCGAGUGGUAAAGACACUUGCCUGUUACCCUGGAGUCCCGGGUCCGAUCCCCGGCCGACGGGCUA